CGUGAGAGUGGCGAACGGGUGAGUAAUGCGUGACCAACCUGCCCCAUUCUCCGGAAUAGCUCCUGGAAACGGGUGGUAAUGCCGGAUGCUCCACAUGACCUCAUGGGAUUGUGGGAAAGGGUUACUGGAAUGGGAUGGGGUCGCGUCCUAUCAGCUUGUUGGUGGGGUAACGGCCCACCAAGGCUUCGACGGGUAGCCGGCCUGAGAGGGCGACCGGCCACAUUGGGACUGAGAUACGGCCCUGACUCCUACGGGAGGCAGCAGUGGGGAAUAUUGCACAAUGGGCGAAAGCCUGAUGCAGCGACGCCGCGUGCGGGAUGAAGGCCUUCGGGUUGUAAACCGCUUUUGAUUGGGAGCAAGCGAGAGUGAGUGUACCUUUCGAAUAAGCACCGGCUAACUACGUGCCAGCAGCCGCGGUAAUACGUAGGGUGCAAGCGUUAUCCGGAAUUAUUGGGCGUAAAGAGCUCGUAGGCGGUUUGUCGCGUCUGGUGUGAAAGUCCAUCGCUUAACGGUGGAUCUGCGCCGGGUACGGGCAGGCUGGAGUGCAGUAGGGGAGACUGGAAUUCCCGGUGUAACGGUGGAAUGUGUAGAUAUCGGGAAGAACACCAAUGGG
rnacentral:rRNA from 1 species